AAAAAAUUGUUGGGCUGCAUACUUACCACAAAAGAUAUGAAUUACCGUCGUUUUCAUAAAAAAAAAACGCCACAAACAUCUCCCUUUACUUUCCUCAAUUCAAUUUACCCCCGAAUGUCUUUUAUCUUUCUCCUUUUACUUUGGUUUCGAAUUUUUACUCUAUUUGACAUGAGAGAAUUUCUAAGCCUUUUGCGGCGGAAGCCAGGGCCUGUGUGAAGGCGUUGAGGUUAUGCUCCGAUCUAGAUGUACAAAACCUGAAGGUGGAGGGGGACUCUCUAACGGUGAAUAAGAAGGCGCCGACUACAGAUGACACAGAUUCCUCAGAAAUAACGGGAUAUAUGGAAGAUGUGAAGAGACUAAGUAAAGUUUUUCGAAGCUGUACCUUUUAUGCAUGCGAAAACAUCGGCCAACGAAGCAGCGAACUAGUUAGCCAGAGAAGGCCUUCAACAAGAACAAGAAUUAUUUUUGAGGAAUGGGAUUCCACAGGUUGCGGCGAUUCUGGUUGAGCGAGACCGCAGUUUGUUGGACGCCCCGGACUGAAGAGCUCUGGUCGAUGAAGGAAAGGGAAGCAGCAGGAGUUCUGUUCGUCGCGUUUCCCUGGCAGAUGAGUAGUUUCUCCUGGGUUUGUUGCUUCUGUCAUUUCUACUGAUAUGCUAGAAUGUUUAUUUUUUCUGCGUAUUUUGAAAUCUUUAUUUUUAGUUAACUUUUGGGGACAAUCCCAUGAGUUGGUGUGUUUAUGCUAAUUAUUCUGGUAGCCCAAUCGCCUUGUCUUGGGCUUGAUUUACCAAUUAUCAAUAUAACACCAUAUACUUAAAGUGAACGAUGUUCGAUGCCCGUAAUCGAUGGCUUUUUUCAUGUCCACUUCAUAUGCCAAGUACUUUUCGUUAACAAAAAUAUUAGAGAGAAGCGCAAGUAAAGUAGAGAAAAAUCGCGCUACCACUGCCUUUACACCCCAUUUGUUUGCAUUUCUCGAUUACACCAUAUCUAUGUUUCUAUAUAGAAGUAUAUUUAUAUAUUUUCCUUAAAAAAGUAUAUGUAAACAAAUUUUUUUCUUUGUUAUUACUGAUGAAAGGCCUUACAUCUGCAGACUGUCUCUCAACUUUGCUCCAAUAGGAGGUAAUGUCUGGUUUCUUAUAUAUUUUUUUCUUUGUUUUUUGUAUCAAAUUCUUCGUCCCUUUUAGGAAUUGACUUUAUGAGUUUUUCUUAAACACCAGUUUCCAGACUCUUCUGGAUAUCAUCCCCAUUUUAGACAAUUACUGUAGCCACUUAAAACUUUUCACAUAUCCUAACAAAUAGUCCAUAGGCUUUUGGCUAAGAAUUCAAUAAUCUUUCAUGGUCUUGCCUGUUUGAUACUUGUUAUUCAGUUAUGAUAAAUAUUUUGUCAAGAUGAUUAUGAUGUUGAUGAUGUUUUGGCUGAUAUAAAGCCCUUUGCUUUUAACGCUACAAAGAAACCUGCUUCUGCUGUAUCUCAUGGUAAAUAAUGAUUUCCUCUCUUGAUUUUUGUACUUUUGUUAUUAUGUGUUACUUUUUUUUUCUUGGUAGAAAUUAACCUUUUCCUUCAUUGCUAAUCUUUCAUUUUUAUUCUUCCUAUAAUAAUUUUGAGGGUUUAAUUGGGUUAGAUCAUUGAUUAAUUGCUGGUGACAUUUUUUUUUUGUUAUAUUGCUCAACAGUUGUUGACUUCUUGUAGAAUUUUCCUUGCUUAUUUGGUUAUUUGAUAAAAUAGAAUUAGGCUUCUUGAAUACUUUGGCUAGUAUUUUCAGUUGAAAUUUUGUUAAAUCUUUUUAUUUUUUAUAAUUGUUCUUUAUUUUCCAGCUUUUUCUAGAUGUUUCUCUGGUUAUACAUUUAUACACACACACAUAUAUAUAUAUAUAAGCUUUUCCUUUUAAUUCUCUUUUUUUUUCCUUUCUGUAUUUCUUUGCUUUAUCUACUUUAGAAAGUCAAAUAUUUUUCCUUUAGCCCUUUAAGAUUUUUGGUUUUAAGCCGAAACAUUACAUGAAAAAGAUACUAGUAGAAGUUUUAUCAUGAAGCUUUAGCAAUUUAAAGCUUCUUCAACUUGAGUAAAUGAAGAUCUGUAUUAAUAAUGAGAUCUUGUAUAAGCACAUAUCACCUGAUAUUGUAAUCCUGGGUUUUUGUUCUUUGAAUAUUGUUAAAAUUAACUUUGAAAUCUUAUAUUUUUUCUGUUUAUUAAAAAUAUAUUUAUAUUGAAAUUGAACUUUUCUGUUGUUUGCUAAUCACGUUGAACAAUAUCUCUCCUCAUCUUCUUGAUUUUUCUUCUUAGAGAAUCUUGUUGAAGAACAAUACUGGACAAACUUCUGUAUUGGAUUCAUUAUGAAAAUCAUUUGUGUCAUUUACUACUAAUAUUUAUACAUCAACCACAUUUUCUUGUGAACAUGCAAAAUAGAAUUUCUAUUAUUAUUAUUAUUGAAUAUAUUUUUUAUGCAUGUGUGGAAGUGAUUCCUUGUUAAUUGUUAUUCUAUAUCCAAAAUGUCGGUCCUAUCAAUUCUCUUGCAUUCUGCAUCCUAGUUAAGUUCAUCUGAUAAAUGCUACAGACAACUGAUUUUUUUCAUCUUUGAACCACUCUCUGUUUAGGAGGAAAAAAAAUGAUGUAACGGAUUGAGCCAUGUUCGAUCUUGUUUCACGCUAAGCGCUUAUAUAAAAGUAUACAGGGCCACUACCCUUAUUAUCCACUUUUGUCUAUUAAACAAGGUUUUUCACUAGUUAUAGGUGGUUUCAACAUUUAUGCUUAGGGAAAAUAUUCUGUCUUUUUCAAUGUCUUUUUAAAUGUUUGUUUAAAGUAAAAUAGGAUGGUCAAGGUAAAAGAUUUUUCAGUUAAUAUAGGAUAAAUUUGAAAAUGUUUUGGUUAAGGAGUGACAAAUUUUGCCUUCUACAUGAUGUUCAAGAUACUGUGUAAAUUUAAUUUAAAUUCAGAGUAUUCAACAAGUGAUCUGAUAAAAAACACUUAAUAUGUGGGACUGAUCUUAUUUGAGGGAGAAGAAGGUGCCCUCUCGAUGACAACUAGGUUACGAUCAGCAAGCACGUCAAAAGGCUUUCCUUUAAUCUAUUGUUUCAGUUUUCGUUCAGUAGGCACGGAAACAGCUUGCAAAGAGGAUGGAGUAUCACAUCAGAGUUUUAGGCUCGAGGUUAAUGUUAUGGACUAUGGUUUUGAACCAACUGAUACACCAAGAACUGAUAGAUCGGGAUGAUGCAGGGCGACUUGUACGCACUGAGAGACUAAGAACCAAAGACAUCACCCAUCCAGUGAAAAUGAAGAAUUACUGGCAGGGAGGAGUCUGCCUGGCAUUUGCUGAUGAGGUACUGUGCUGGCUUUACGGAACAGUCAAAGAGAGUAAGAUUCUAAUUUCCAUUUCCACAAGCACAAUCUUGCCCUGAUGCGAUUACUAAUCACGUUGAACAAUCGUAGUCAUUGACAGACUUAUUUGUUAGUUUGUAAUUCAGAUAGUUCAAAUACAGGAUCAAAGCAAAGAGGAUGGUUUAUAUUUUUACUAACUUUGAUUUUGCAGAUGAACAUCACACAUGAUAAAGUUCCCCAAAGUUCAGCCUUUGUUUGUAAAGGAAAACCCCCCAACUUGGUAGAUUCAUAAGUUAAAAAAUUGUCCUUUGGUAAUUAGAUUUAAAUAGCUUCCAUUUUAGUGUAUUGAUGAAACUCGUGAGAGGUAGAUGCUAUUUCUGCUGUGCUUUUCUAGAAGCAUUAUUGCUACUAAUACAAGUUCCAAAUAUUAAACUUCAAUGGUUUCUAAAAGUAGGAGUUACUAUUUAAAUUGUUAAGAAUUUUAAUAUUUAAUUAAACUUAAAUUAAAAAAAAAGAUUGUAUCUUUUUCUGUGGAUCUGCUUUGUCUCCUGAGGAAAAGGUUAGAUUAGAUGAAACCCAUUUUUCUGUUGAGUAGUUAUCUUUUUUAAUAAUUAUAUCUUUGAAUUGCGUAUGUGUUUUAUUGUGCUGAAAGGUAAACUCGUAUACUGAUGAUAUUUUUGCAAGUACUAAAAUUUCUCGUUAAACGAUUCUUUUUGGUGUUAAAAGUUUCAUGAUUGAUGAAAUUAGUCUUGACAACCAUGGGUGUUGUGAUGGUCUUAAAACUGGCAGAGUCAGGGUAUUGGAUAAUGCAUCAAAGCUCUUUGAUUAUUUGGCAGAGGGUUAGUGAAGCACAGAAUAUAGCCAUAAAAUUAGGUGGACAAGUCAUUGGUCACACAUGGCUUUUAGAAUCAAUUGCAGCAUGACUGAGCAAUGCUUCCUUUACAGGUGUCAACUUUAUUGACAGCAACGUGGGAAAUAAGAGCUCGUCAGAAAGGGUGGAGAGAAAAGGUCGCCAAAUCUAAUGCGCAGACACAAGGAGGAUGGGUUGCUUCACACUGGUUGCGGGACUCCAAAUUAUGUUGCUCCGGAGGUGCUCAAAGAUAAAGGUUAUGAUGGUACAUCAUCUGAUAUUUGGUCUUGCGGAGUUAUUCUCUUUGUUCUCAUGGCUGGUUAUUUGCCUUUUGAUGAGCCAAGCCUUAUAGGCUUGUAUAAGAAAAUCUGGGAGGCUUCUUUCAGCUAUCCAUCAUGGUUUUCAUCUGGUGCUAGGAAUUUGAUUAAGCGUAUUCUUGAUCCAAACCCUUACUCGUAUAACUAUUCCUGAAAUUCUACAAGAUGAAUGGUUCAAGAAAGGGUACAAGCCACCAAAAUUUGAGCAAGAUGAGGAUGUAAAUCUUGAUGAUAAUAUCUUAUAUUUUACAUGGUUAUGAUUUAAGUUCUUAUUUCAUUGAUAUCUUUAUAUUUAAUUUAAUUUUUAUUAUUUAUUUUAGUUUUGAUUCUAAA